GGGGGAUCCCACGUGGAUCCAAUCUGUGCCCAUUUGGGACUGCUCACCCUGGGUAGAGACUGGGAGUGGCUAUAAUUCACUGAAGGAUAAGGAAGGCCCCCGCCUCAUCAGCUCCCACCUCCCCAUCCAACUCAUCCCCAAGUCUCUCUUCAGUUCCAAGGCCAAGGUGAUUUGUCUCAUCAGAAAUCCCAGAGAUAGUCUUGUGCCUGGUUAUUUUUUCUAUAGGAUUUUGAAUUUUAUUAAGAAACCAGAGUCACUGGAACAAUUUUUUGAAUGGUUCAUCCAAGGAAAUGAGCAGCAGAACCCCAGCCAGCCUUUCAGCUUGCCCCAUUAUAAACCAUCCUAG